rnacentral:rRNA from 1 species
GACAGAGGGUGCGACCGUUGUUCGGAAUUACUGGGCGUAAAGCGCAUGUAGGCGGCAGCGCAAGUCGGGCGUGAAAUCCCACGGCUCAACCGUGGAAGUGCACUCGAAACUGCGCAGCUAGAGUCCUGGAGAGGAAGGUGGAAUGCUUGGUGUAGAGGUGAAAUUCGUAGAUAUCAAGCGGAACACCGGUGGCGUAGGCGGCCUUCUGGACAGUGACUGACGCUGAGAUGCGAAAGCGUGGGGAGCAAACAGG